AUUGAACGCUGGCGGCAGGCUUAACACAUGCAAGUCGAACGGUAACAUAAAGAAGCUUGCUUCUUUGAUGACGAGUGGCGGACGGGUGAGUAAUGCUUGGGAAUCUAGCUUAUGGAGGGGGAUAACUACGGGAAACUGUAGCUAAUACCGCGUAAUAUCGAAAGAUUAAAGUGUGGGACCUUCGGGCCACAUGCCAUAGGAUGAGCCCAAGUGGGAUUAGGUAGUUGGUGAGGUAAAGGCUCACCAAGCCGACGAUCUCUAGCUGGUCUGAGAGGUUGACCAGCCACACUGGGACUGAGACACGGCCCAGACUCCUACGGGAGGCAUCAGGGGGGAAUAUUGAGCAAUGGGGGCAACCCUGACGCAUCCUUGCCUCGUGAAUGAAGAAGGCCUUCAGGUUGGUAUGUUCUUCCUCCAGCUCUGAACGAUGAUAAUUAAUAUUCUACUGAUUGAAGUCCACUAUAGGAGAAGUCCGCCUAAAUCCGUCCCCCACUGCCUGCCUUUGUCGUCGCUA
rnacentral:rRNA from 1 species